CCUACGGGUGGCUGCAGUAGGGAAUUUUCCGCAAUGGGCGAAAGCCUGACGGAGCAAUACCGCGUGAGGGAUGAAUGCCUAUGGGUUGUAAACCUCUUUUUUCAGGGAGGAACACAAUGACGUGUACCUGAAGAAUAAGCAUCGGCUAACUCCGUGCCAGCAGCCGCGGUAAGACGGAGGAUGCAAGUGUUAUCCGGAAUCACUGGGCGUAAAGCGUCUGUAGGUGGUUUAAUAAGUCAACUGUUAAAUCUUGAGGCUCAACCUCAAAAUCGCAGUCGAAACUAUUAGACUAGAGUAUAGUAGGGGUAAAGGGAAUUUCCAGUGGAGCGGUGAAAUGCGUAGAUAUUGGAAAGAACACCGAUGGCGAAGGCACUUUACUGGGCUAUUACUGACACUCAGAGACGAAAGCUAGGGUAGCAAAGGGGAUUAGAUACCCUAGUAGUC
rnacentral:rRNA from 1 species